rnacentral:rRNA from 1 species
GAUUGUAGUCUGCAACUCGACUACAUGAAGCUGGAAUCGCUAGUAAUCGUAGAUCAGCAUGCUACGGUGAAUACGUUCCCGGGUCUUGUACACACCGCCCGUCACACCACGAGAGUUUGUAACACCCGAAGCCGGUGGAGUAACCUUUUAGGAGCUAGCCGUCGAAGGUGGGACAAAUGAUUGGGGUGAAGUCGUAACAAGGUAGCCGUAUCGGAAGGUGCGGCUGGAUCACCUCCUUU